GUCACCCAGGUUGCAAUGGAGCAACCCAACAGUUGGACAUGGUAUAUAGAAUUUACACUAAAAAUUGAAGUAUCUAACAUGAUGCAUCACUCUUGUGCAGGUACCUAGGUAUCAUAGCUCUGCCUUUACAAAUGCCUUCAGCACUAGUACUCUUUCAUUCAUUUAUUUAUUUUUUGAUUUGUAAAGAUUCUAGUAAUUUUUUUUUUAUAUAAAAAGGGUUGACUUCAUACAAGAGGAUUAGAAAGCUCUUUACAAAAUAUACAACCUAUGCAUCAAUGGUUGAAUCAUGUAUAACUUUGUGCAUUCCAUUGCCUUUUUGGUUAAACACAUUCAUGCUGAUAGAAGGGCCUGAAUUUUUAGUUUUCUGUUGGUUGGAAAGUUUUUCUAUGGCUUGCUCAGAAUGAUGUAUGGUUACUGGCUGUACAUGUUGCAUACAUGAUACAUACUUGUAGUCUGAGUUUUACAGUACAGAUAUAAUACAAUACAACACUUUAACUUUCUCAAAAAAAAAGAGUCUCUUAAAGUGAAGCCAUUGAACUCCUUAAGAAUUCAUAUGCAAAAGAGGAUGUCCCUCUCAAAUCUUCCCUUUCAACUGAUCCUCUCAAACUUGCUUUCCUUAAAGCCCCACCCCCUUCCUUUCGUUCCAAAUGGACCAACAAAUGGUAAAAUGAACAAUAUUGCACAAAAUACGACCCCUAGUACAAAAUAAUCCUGUUUUAAGCCAAACUUGAAUUAGAUGCAAAAUCCUGUUGCCCCUGUCUCUUUGGAUAACAGGGGCAUUACAAUAAAAGAUGCAGGAUAUAAUAUUCAUUAGAAUUACCAGGGUUGCGGAAGUUAUAUGCAGAUUUUUUCUUCUAGUUAUAAUGUAGAAGCAUGACGGCUACAAUGUCACAACUGAUUCAGAAAACUAGUAUGGCCAUGGAAAGGUCAAGGGAGUUGGAGAGGUAAGGAAUUGGACUUAAGGUGUUUCAAGGCAUAUGCCUAGAAAAUAUGUUCGGAAUAAUUAUAAAUAUAAUAUAUAUAAAAAUACAAAACAUUAAAACAUGAUUUAGUUGAUUUCUUAGUGUAACCCCAUAUAGUUGGUAGAAUAGUAUAUCCUUGAAAGAUUUUUUAAACUUGAAAAAUAGUAAUAUCAAAGAAAAUAAUAUAAACAAACACCUUUUAGAUCUGUAAAAAAGCAAUCAUAUUGCAUAAUCCAAACUCCAAAAUACUCAAAUUGUAUCAAUCAUAUUUGUAAACCAACCAUGCCCAUGUCCGUACUAUUUAGAUGGCAGAGAGAUAAUGCCCAUUUGAACAUCCAAUUACAAUUCAAAACUCAAACAACAACAUACACAAUUUGAUUCAAUUCAUCCCUAGCCCCCAGCCCUUGGUCAUUUAUUUACUUGAGCCAAAAGCUUUCCACAUAGCCAACCAAAGCAGAGAACAUGUACACUUUAAAGGCAAGACAAUUUUCCUGCAAGUAAUUCUGGGACUUUGAAAGUUUCGACUACACUACCCAUUUCUGCUGAAUGUAAGAGUUUUAAAGUACUUCAAUAGAUCUUUUAAGGGAUUCCUAAACUUGCGGAUUCUGCUUCAAUUUCAGCUAGGACCAAAAUAGAUGCCAUGAGCAGAAUGUAAAACCAUACUGCUAAUGAUAUUUUAUAAUAUCCAGACUCGAUGAUGGAAGAAACUUUAAGGUAUAUUUUCUUAGUCCAGCAUGGCAAGAAAAGAAUAUCCUUAAGCCUAGUUCCUGUGAUGAACCUAGUUGCAAAAUCCUCAUGCAAGCUUUCUUUUAUAAACAGAAAAAGACUUGUUUGAACUCAUCCCCGCCCCUAUGUUGUAACCGACUACAACAGUAAUGUAAGUAAAAACAAAAACUCCAAUACUAUGUAUGAUAGAGGAUUGAAGAUUUGAAGCAGGAGGCAAAAAGCUAUGAUAUAUCUGAUAUAGAAUUAUCAGAAAAAUAAUAAAUUGAACCAUCUGCUUAAAAACAGGAAAUGAUAGGAGAACUAAGAGGUCUAAUCCUGUAUAAAACCCAAUAUGAAGAGAUGAAGCACCAAAUGCAGAUGUAGUUGAAAAUGCAAAAAAAAAAAAAAGAAAAAACAACAACAAUGGAGACCUAUAAGAGAUCAGAUUUCACUAAAAUAGUCUCAAUUAUUGUCCAUAAACCUGGUCUUAUUGAAACACAUAAAAGAUUGGAAUUAGAAAAUAGUCUCAAUUCAUUUUAGAGAGAAGUUGAAAGGAGUAGAGCCCCCCUGUUGUUCACUUGGAAGAAGCAGAAGAAAUAAUAAUCUGGCACUAAUUUGUAGUAACCCUUUGUUCUCCAUGGAUGCUUUCUUCUCUGCCAAAUUUCUCUUCUCCCCACUCUCCACUCCUGUGCAGAAGCAAGAAACCCAUGGUUGAAUGAAGAACUUAUUUGUUAAGUGCACUUACCCUUGUUCGUUUACUAAGAGGCCAUUUACCCGGGUAAGUGCACUUACCCAUGUUCUUUUUUGUUAAUUUACCCAGGUAAAUGAGGCUCUCAACUUUCCCAUGUUUUUUUGCCUCACCUACUUUCCCGGGAAUAGCAACCAGGAUUAAAAGUAUCGAUACAUAUUGUACUGUUUCAUAUGAUACAUAUAGGGCCCGUUUGGCAAGUCUUUUUGAGAAGAUAUUCUUGUAGCUUUGACAGUUAAAAGACGUAUUGAGCUUUUGACGUAAGAUCUGGGCAGCCCGAAGACCGUUUGGCAGAUGUGCGUCGUUCUGCGUCUUUUCGUGCGAGAUUAAAACGCGAAAGACCCUAGAAGCUUCAUUUGGAGCUUCUCGAAAUCAGCCCAAAAUGGGCUUCUCGUGUCUUUUCGGCGUCCCGUCUUUUGGUGGUUAGAUCUUUCACGUGCUAAACGGAAAUAGACCGAUUUUCAGUCUUCCCAGCUUGUAAACAGUCGAAGGACCGUGCGAAAAGACGCACCAAACGGGCCCAUAGUUUUCAGGGUGAGCAAUACAUGAAAUACUGCGAAUUUGGGAGAAUUAAGAUAUUCAGAGCUUUAUAUUCAUUAAGAAGAAUGAAGAUUUCAAAUCUUGUUCUGAAAUAGUGCCGUUUUCAUAGAGCAUUGCUGUUCAGAAUCAGGUGCGGUGCAAAUACUCGUGUGGGGCCUUGUGGCUGACAGGUUCCCCCUUUUAACAACAGCUUCCCCCUUUUAUCAGAUUCAAUCUUUUGCUUCUAACUGGUUAAUGAAAUUAUGAUCUGAAAAAGCUGAUUGAUUAGGUAAUCAAAAAGCAUGGAUCAUUCGUAAAGGAUAAACCUAUGAGUGUCAGAUCAUUCUCCAUCUUAAAUAUAUUUGAAAUUGAAGUUGGUCUCUUA